UGCUGAGCAGAGAGCCCAAUGCAGGGCUUGAUCCCAGGACUCUGCGAUGAUGACCCAAGCUGAAGGUGGAGACGCUAACCCGCUGAGCCACCCAGGCUCUCUCCUAAUUCUUUUUUGCCACUUCCAGUUGGUGAUGAGAGAAGAAUUAGGCACAAACAAGUCAGCUGCAAAAGACUGGGAGCAGGGGACAACAGUCGAAAAGGACUGCUGCCACGAGCAACUCCACAGUCUCACUUUUAUUGGAUAGAAAACAAUAGCCAACAGAAGGACUGAUGAAGGUCAAACGUUAAUCCCGUCUUGCAG
rnacentral:lncRNA from 1 species